rnacentral:rRNA from 1 species
GAUGAACGCUAGCUACAGGCUUAACACAUGCAAGUCGAGGGGCAGCAUGAACUUAGCUUGCUAAGUUUGAUGGCGACCGGCGCACGGGUGAGUAACACGUAUCCAACCUGCCGAUGACUCGGGGAUAGCCUUUCGAAAGAAAGAUUAAUACCCGAUGGCAUAGUUCUUCCGCAUGGUGGAACUAUUAAAGAUUUAUCGGUGAUGGAUGGGGAUGCGUCUGAUUAGCUUGUUGGCGGGGUAACGGCCCACCAAGGCGACGAUCAGUAGGGGUUCUGAGAGGAAGGUCCCCCACAUUGGAACUGAGACACGGUCCAAACUCCUACGGGAGGCAGCAGUGAGGAAUAUUGGUCAAUGGGCGAGAGCCUGAACCAGCCAAGUAGCGUGCAGGAUGACGGCCCUAUGGGUUGUAAACUGCUUUUAUAAGGGAAUAAAGUGAGUCUCGUGAGACUUUUUGCAUGUACCUUAUGAAUAAGGACCGGCUAAUUCCGUGCCAGCCGCCGCCGUAAUAC